rnacentral:rRNA from 1 species
UACGGAGGAUGCGAGCGUUAUCCGGAUUUAUUGGGUUUAAAGGGUGCGCAGGCGGAUUUUUAAGUCAGCGGUCAAAUCGUGGGGCUCAACCCCAUCCAGCCGUUGAAACUGGGGAUCUAGAGUGUGCGAGAGGUAUGCGGAAUGCGUGGUGUAGCGGUGAAAUGCAUAGAUAUCACGCAGAACCCCGAUUGCGAAGGCAGCCUGCUGGACUGUAACUGACGCUGAUGCUCGAAAGUGUGGGUAUCAAACAGG